rnacentral:rRNA from 1 species
AGAGCGAACGCUGGCGGCAGGCCUAACACAUGCAAGUCGAACGCCCAGCAAUGGGAGUGGCAGACGGGAUAGUAACACGUGGGAACGCGCCCUUCGGUUCGGAAUAACUCAGGGAAACUUGAGCUAAUACCGGAUACGCCCUUACGGGGAAAGAUUUAUUGCCGAAGGAACGGCCCGCGUCGGAUUAGCUAGUUGGUGAGGUAAUGGCUCACCAAGGCGACGAUCCGUAGCUGGUCUGAGAGGAUGACCAGCAUCACUGGGACUGAGACACGGCCCAGACUCCUACGGGAGGCAGCAGUGGGGAAUAUUGGACAAUGGGCGCAAGCCUGAUCCAGCCAUGCCGCGUGGAUGAUGAAGGCCCUAGGGUUGUAAAGUCCUUUAACGGGGAAGAUAAUGACGGUACCGUAGAAUAAGCCCGGCUAACUUCGUGCCAGCAGCCGC